AAAAAAAAAAAAAAAAAACAGAUUUCUGUUUCUUUGUUGACCUUCGAUGAAACGAAAAGUGUUAGACUGGUCCACCUCGAUGGCUUGUUUAAGAGUGGGACGUGGUCAUUAAGUUUCAUAUAGCAUAGCGAUAGUCUAUAUUACAUCUAUAGGGUAGGUAUACUUGAUUUGUAUUUAUUUUACAAUUUGCAACGAAGAUAAAUUAUAGAGACUAUGUUUUUUUGUCAAACUGAUGGGGAGUGUAAAAUGGCAGCUCAACAACUGUAAACAAGCUUCUAAAGGCAAGAAAUUCUUUAUUCAGCUUUAAAGAAAGGUUGGAUGGGAAAAACCAUGUUUAAAUAUGCUGAUUCCUUACUACUUUCCCUCAAUUUUCAAUUUACAUAAUAAUUUGUUCAAAAAAUAAACUUUAAAAAUAUGUUACUAUUCAGAA